UGGUUGGUACAAAAGUGAUGGAUCUUUUUCCACCCUUUUAUGAGUUACAAAAAAAAAGUAUAAAGCACGGAUCAGGUUUUCCUCAAACCUCCCACCAAAAAAAUAAAAACCAAAGACACAUUCUUGACAGAUACAGAGCACCAAAAAUCAGCCUAAAAGGGAAAUGAAAACAAUCUUAAAAUCAACUCUCUUUGACAAUUAAAAUUUUCAGUCCCAGACAGUACCAUCUUUAGACUCAACUCACCUUGGUCUCAAAUCAUAUGAUAAUGUCACUAAUUGGAAAGAGUCCCAUAACAUCUGUAUUUUUACCACUUUACUUUUUUCUUUCAGUCAAAUUGCAUGACAAAGCUGUUAAAUGCCAGGAUUCUGGUGUUACCUGCUGUGUCUUAUGGACUUAGAUGUACUUUAGCAGCAGUAUUUCAGUACUAGGGUUUUGUAGAAUUAUGUUAAUUUUCAUACUGUGAAAAUCCGUAGACCAAUAUGAACAUAUACAUAUAUUUGUUCACACAUUUCUAUGGGAGAGAAUAUUUUACCUAUUCAGACUCUUUUCAUUCUUAUUUUUCAUAAACUGAGUAAUUUAAAUUGAAUCUGUUCAUGUAAAAUAUAUAUAUUGGUAUUUCCAUGCACAAAUCCUCUCAGAAAGUUUCUUGGCUAAAGUACAGAAUUUCUGGUCCAACCUGGGAGGAAAGAUGAAGAGGAGGAGGAAAAAAAGGAGCAAGGAUGAACAUCCCUCCUCUUCCUCCUGUAGCGGGUGAACAUCCACUACCCAUCUUGAGAUGAUGACUAUCUUGACUCAAACCAGACAUUCCUGUCAUCAAACUUGUCAGGAGUGCACCCAAAUACUGGAUGGUAGCUGGGAAGGACUAUGAAUUUCUUCUAAUGAUAUUAUCCUAUACUGUCAUUUGAGAGAAUUAUGCAUUGGCAUUGGGACCUCACUCUGCUUUCCCUGAGUCCCAGGUGAAAAUGCUUUCCUUCAGCUUUUUCCAGGCUUUUAAAUCUGUUCAUGGGAACAUUCCCAAGGUCUUGUGUUUGUCUGAUUGUAGAAUAUAAAACAUUUUGGACUCUUAAAAACUCUCUGGGGAGGCAAAAUAUUUCCCAUCCAGACCUAACACUUAUUUAUUUAUUUACUUUUACUUUUGUUUUAAAGGUAGCUAAGAGAUUGAUUACUCAGUCCUGAAAGUUGUAUUUUCAUGGAGUAAUUGAUGUACAAAUGUUAGCAGAUUAAACAAACUAGUCUUGUUAUAUUGGAAAGUGCCACAGAUAGCAGGCCUGUAAAUAGACUGGAAAGGAAAAAAGAUGAUGGGAAAUACCUGCCAUGAAAUUAAAUGUGUUUAAGUGCUUAAAUAGGAGGAACUGAUUUAUGUAAAACCAAGAAUGCUUUUUAGUCUUCCAGAGUAGUUUGGAGAUUCAGUCCUCAAGUGGAAGAAGUCCUAGAGGGCAGCUCUAAUGUGUCAGUAAGCAAAGCAUAAGGACCAGUGAUUAAGAAGGGAGACCGAGUGAGAAAUGGAGAGCGAUCUGAAGCUUGCACUCUGCUGUUCUCCUCUGUUUGAGUCAAAAUGAAGCUACUGCCUCUCCUGUACCCACCGCCUGCUGCUUGGGCUGCAUGAGCCUUAAGGAGGAACACAAAAGCUGGACUGCCUGGAGGUGGGAGCACCUUCCAGACUUGAUUCAGAUUAAGAAAUAAAUGAUGACUUGGAAACAAAACACGGGGCUUUUCAUGACAGGAGUGAAAAGGUAUAAAGACCUAAACUGUGUAUUUGUAGGAGAACAUAAUGGUCCUUGUCAUCGACGUGAUGUUGAAAGGAAUGACUUCCAUCUAGAGGAUGCAGGAAAAACAGGAGAUAAAUUUCAGUAGCAGUAACAGCUUAAUGGCAAAAGAUUGAAAAAGAGGAGGAAUAUGGAAAUUAGACGGCGAUGAUGUUCUAAGAAUUUAAAUGUGGCAUUUGGCAGCAGCAGCAUUGUUCAUGUAAAAACAAACAAGGCUAAUCAACAACAAAUGUAUUAUCCUUUUAAAAUAGACUUUAUUUAAUAACAAUAAAUAUAAAGAAAUCUUAAUGUUCAGAAACUAAUAGCAAACAUUCUUAGAAAAAAUACAAAAAAUACAUUCUUACAUUUUGAAUUUUUUCAACAUACAAAGAAUUUAAAACAGUGGCGAUGGUCUGCAAUUUGUGGUGCUCACGUCUUACUUUAAGGCAAUGAAAUGUUCACUGACACGGAUUCAUCUGUACAAGGUAAGAAUCUGGCCUACAUACAAAGUGUAAAAAGAGCAAAAUUGAUUCAUAGGUUAACAGUAAUGUUAAUUUUCCCUUCAAACAGAUCUUUAAACAUUAUUAAAGUGACCCAGUCUUGAAAAAAAAGUUACAAAUAGUAUUAUGUUGGCAGCUGCCCCCACCCCCUGAAGCACUUCAUUCCUAUGCCUCGGCAGAGCUCGCUGUGUAUGGGCAGUGCACAUUUCAGCAGAUGGAGGUAGAGGCUCCCUACGUUGCAUAGCUUUAGAGGUUUGGGCACUCUGUGCUGGGAGUAACACUGCACAUGGCAAAACAAAGUGAAUUCCUGAUAUAAUGCUUUCUGAAAGUGAAUGUUAUGGCUAUGUUAGCAAGUAGCAUGGCACUUGGGAAGCAAAACACAGAUGCUGACAUCAGUUGAAGCUGAUGCCCACCUAGUACUCUGGGCUCUCUUCAGGCUAGCUCUGGUUUCAGAGCUGUGAACUAAAAUGCCUGCCAGAGACUGUGAUAUGCAUAUCUAAGACCUGUCUUCUGGAUUGGUUUAAGACAAAAGGAAUCCAGUUCGUGAGCUCCAAGACCAGAUGUGAACCACCACUCAGAAAGUGGGGGCAAGUGGAAGAUGAGUUUCAAACAUACUCCUGAGCUGAACAAAAUGGUAAUGUAGAAACCCACCCAAGGCUCCCCAGGUCACGGCACUGAGCCUGCUGGAGUGAAAGAAGUGUUUGGACUAUGCUGUCAGAAAUAUGGUCUGAUUUUUGGUUGUGGCCAGGGGUUGGAUUUGAUGAUCCUUGAGGGUCUCUUCCAGCUCAGGGUAUGCCAUGAUUCUAUGAUUCUAGGUGGUUACAAUUUUAUUACAAGAGGAGCCCAAGCGAUAGGUACACAUACUUUGCUGGUGUAGCAUGCUUUUUUUUUUUUUUAAUAAUAAUUAUUUUAAAGGCUGGAAUAUAAACUCUCAGUGAUGUUGAGGACCAACUCCUCCUUCAGGAAAUGAGUGAUGUAAGAAGCCGCAAUUGAGAGAGGACACAAGGACAGGAAAAGGACCAGAAAACCAGGCACUCCUGAAAAUCAGUCUUAAACUCUGCCACUGUUCAGUGUGACCCCAGGCAAGGCACUUAAUUCUUUUGUCUCCCUGUCUCUUUAGCUGUCAAAGCAGGCAAUCAAAGUUUCCUUAAGAUCAAACAAUUAUCUGAAAUGGCCCAUUUCAUGACAUUUUAUUUUUAUUUUUUUCCCAUUAUCACGUGAUACCUCCUUGUUUGCCCUUGCCCUCCAACACUGCACCUGAGAGGGUGUUUAAGGCACUUUGAAACUGCGAUCCCCGAUGGGGAGAUGAAAAUGGCAUCUCUCAGCUGAACACUACUGUUGACAGGGAAAUGCCAGCCCAAAGCCGAAAUCAGAAGCUCCAAGCUUGCACAGAGCUGACUGGCCUUUCUAACAAAACUCAUAUAACACAGGAAAACCCUGAGUACUUCAUUAUACUGCCCAGUGACAGGACAAGAGGCAAGAGGCACAUGCUGAAACACAAGAAAUGCAAUCUGAACGUAAGAAAAAACUGUUUUACUGUGAGGGUGCCUGAGCCCUGGCACUGGCUGCCCAGAGAGGCUGUGGGGUCUCCUCCUGGGGGAUCCUCCAAAGUCACCUGGAAGUGGUCCUGGGCAGCCUGGUCUGGGUGUCCCUGCUUGGGCAGGGGCUGGGGCAGGUGGGCUUCUGAGGGUUCUGGGAUUCUGGGAAAA